ACUCCUACGGGAGGCAGCAGUAGGGAAUUUUCCGCAAUGGACGAAAGUCUGACGGAGCAAUGCCGCGUGAGUGAUGAAGGUUUUCGAAUCGUAAAGCUCUGUUGUAAGGGAAGAAUAGCAGUAGUAGGAAUGACUACUGUGUGACGGUACCUUACCAGAAAGCCACGGCUAACUACGUGCCAGCAGCCGCGGUAAUACGAAGGGGGCUAGCGUUGUUCGGAAUCACUGGGCGUAAAGCGCACGUAGGCGGACUGGUCAGUUGGGGGUGAAAUCCCGGGGCUCAACCUCGGAACUGCCUCCAAUACUGCCAGUCUUGAGUCCGAGAGAGGUGAGUGGAAUUCCUAGUGUAGAGGUGAAAUUCGUAGAUAUUAGGAAGAACACCAGUGGCGAAGG
rnacentral:rRNA from 1 species